AGAGUUUGAUCCUGGCUCAGCGCGAACGCUGGCGGCAUGGCUAAAACAUGCAAGUCGAACGCGAAAGUGGGCUUCGGCCCGCGAGUAGAGUGGCGAAAGGGCGAGGAAUACGUUUCUAACGUACCCCAAGGUUGGGGAUAGCUCGGGGAAACCCGGGGUAAUACCUGAUGACCCCAUCGGAUCGCAUGGUCUGGUGGGCAAAGGCUUGCUGCCUUGGGAUCGGGAAACGUCCUAUCAGGUUGUUGGUGAGGUAAUGGCUCACCAAGCCAAAGACGGGUAGCGGGUGUGAGAGCAUGACCCGCCGCAUCGGGACUGAGACACUGCCCGGACUCCUACGGGAGGCUGCAGUAACGAAUCUUCCGCAAUGCGCGAAAGCGUGACGGAGCAAUGCCGCGUGCAGGAUGAAGCCCCUCGGGGUGUAAACUGCUGUCAGGGUGCAGGAACACAAUGACCACACCCAAAGGAAGGGCCGGCUAACUUCGUGCCAGCAGCCGCGGUAAUACGAAGGGCCCAAGCGUUGCGCGGAAUCACUGGGCUUAAAGGGUGCGUAGGCGGGUCCGCAAGUGCUUUGUGAAAUCCCCCGGCUCAACCGAGGAAUUGCUUGGCAUACUGCGGACCUUGAGGUCGGCAGAGGUCGUCGGAACUCUAGGUGUAGCGGUGAAAUGCGUAGAUAUCUAGAGGAACGCCCAUGGCGAAGGCAGGCGGCUGGGCCGAAUCUGACGCUGAGGCACGAAAGCGUGGGUAGCGAACGGGAUUAGAUACCCCGGUAGUCCACGCCCUAAACGAUGUGCACUAGAUUGUGGUGGCUCUGACGCCGGCACGGUCGAGGCAAAAGUGUUAAGUGCACCGCCUGGGGAGUACGGUCGCAAGACUAAAACUCAAAGGAAUUGACGGGGGCUCACACAAGCGGUGGAGCAUGUGGCUUAAUUCGAAACAACGCGAAGAACCUUAUCCUGGGUUUGACAUGCACGGAUUAACUCCGGGAAACCGGAGCCACGCCCUUUGGGUGGAACGUGCACAGGUGCUGCAUGGCUGUCGUCAGCUCGUGCUGUGAAGUGUCGGGUUAAGUCCCUCAACGAGCGAAACCCCUGCCGAUAGUUGCCAGCAGGCCUUCGGGUGCUGGGGACUCUAGCGGGACUGCCGGUGUCAAACCGGAGGAAGGUGGGGACGACGUCAAGUCCUCAUGGCCUUUAUGCCCAGGGCUGCACACGUGCUACAAUGGCGGCUACAGAGCGACGCGAUACCGCAAGGUGGAGCAAAUCGCAAAAAGGCCGCCCCAGUUCAGAUUGGAGUCUGCAACUCGACUCCAUGAAGUUGGAAUCGCUAGUAAUCGCGUAUCAGCUACGACGCGGUGAAUGUGUUCCUGAGCCUUGUACACACCGCCCGUCAAGUCAUGGGAGCCGGGGGGACCCGGAGUUGCAUCGAUUCAGGUGUGCCUACGGUCAACUCGGUGACUGGGACUAAGUCGUAACAAGGUA
rnacentral:rRNA from 1 species